rnacentral:pre_miRNA from 7 species
UUCCUGUAGACUUAGUGAAAGACCCCCGAAGGGAGACCCUCACUCAAGUCUCGGGAACGUCACGCACCCAGUAGGACACUGAGACCA